rnacentral:rRNA from 1 species
UACGAAGGGGGCUAGCGUUGUUCGGAAUCACUGGGCGUAAAGCGUACGUAGGCGGAUCGUUAAGUCAGGGGUGAAAGCCUGGAGCUCAACUCCAGAACUGCCUUUGAUACUGGCGAUCUUGAGACCGGGAGAGGUGAGUGGAACUGCUAGUGUAGAGGUGAAAUUCGUAGAUAUUAGCAAGAACACCAGCGGCGAAGGCGGCGACCUGGCCCUGAACUGACACUGAGGCGCGAGAGCGUGGGGAGCAAACAGG